GACGAACGCUGGCGGCGUGCUUAACACAUGCAAGUCGAACGGAAAGGCCCUGCUUUUGUGGGGUGCUCGAGUGGCGAACGGGUGAGUAACACGUGAGUAACCUGCCCUUGACUUUGGGAUAACUUCAGGAAACUGGGGCUAAUACCGGAUAGGAGCUCCUGCUGCAUGGUGGGGGUUGGAAAGUUUCGGCGGUUGGGGAUGGACUCGCGGCUUAUCAACUUGUUGGUGGGGUAGUGGCUUACCAAGGCUUUGACGGGUAGCCGGCCUGAGAGGGUGACCGGCCACAUUGGGACUGAGAUACGGCCCAGACUCCUACGGGAGGCAGCAGUGGGGAAUAUUGCACAAUGGGCGGAAGCCUGAUGCAGCAACGCCGCGUGCGGGAUGACGGCCUUCGGGUUGUAAACCGCUUUCGCCUGUGACGAAGCGUGAGUGACGGUAAUGGGUAAAGAAGCACCGGCUAACUACGUGCCAGCAGCCGCGGUGAUACGUAGGGUGCGAGCGUUGUCCGGAUUUAUUGGGCGUAAAGGGCUCGUAGGUGGUUGAUCGCGUCGGAAGUGUAAUCUUGGGGCUUAACCCUGAGCGUGCUUUCGAUACGGGUUGACUUGAGGAAGGUAGGGGAGAAUGGGAUUCCUGGUGGAGCGGUGGAAUGCGCAGAUAUCAGGAGGAACACCAGUGGCGAAGGCGGUUCUCUGGGCCUUUCCUGACGCUGAGGAGCGAAAGCGUGGGGAGCGAACAGGCUUAGAUACCCUGGUAGUCCACGCUGUAAACGGUGGGUACUAGGUGUGGGGUCCAUUCCACGGGUUCCGUGCCGUAGCUAACGCUUUAAGUACCCCGCCUGGGGAGUACGGCCGCAAGGCUAAAACUCAAAGGAAUUGACGGGGCCCCGCACAAGCGGCGGAGCAUGCGGAUUAAUUCGAUGCAACGCGUAGAACCUUACCUGGGUUUGACAUGGAUCGGGAGUGCUCAGAGAUGGGUGUGCCUCUUUUGGGGUCGGUUCACAGGUGGUGCAUGGCUGUCGUCAGCUCGUGUCGUGAGAUGUUGGGUUAAGUCCCGCAACGAGCGCAACCCUUGUUCACUGUUGCCAGCACGUUAUGGUGGGGACUCAGUGGAGACCGCCGGGGUCAACUCGGAGGAAGGUGGGGAUGACGUCAAGUCAUCAUGCCCCUUAUGUCCAGGGCUUCACGCAUGCUACAAUGGCUGGUACAGAGAGUGGCGAGCCUGUGAGGGUGAGCGAAUCUCGGAAAGCCGGUCUCAGUUCGGAUUGGGGUCUGCAACUCGACCUCAUGAAGUCGGAGUCGCUAGUAAUCGCAGAUCAGCAACGCUGCGGUGAAUACGUUCCCGGGGCU
rnacentral:rRNA from 1 species